rnacentral:lncRNA from 10 species
CAGACUGUGCUGAAGCUUCAUGAGACCUCUCCUCGUCUGUGCACGAAAGAGGAGCCGGACACAGAGUGUCCAGCCGACUCUGGAGCCCAGGCUGUUGCUUCCCGGUCUGGUGGUGAGUCCUCCAUUGUCUGAUGUGGGUAAGUCCAAGACCAAGGAGCCAGCAGAUUCAGAGUCCAGGGAGGGCUGUUCCUGAUUUGCAGAUGGCGCCUUCUCUUUAUGUCUUCACAAGAUUGUGAAGCCUGUAGCUUGGAAGAUACAGGACAUAGGUGAAAGUGUUUGUACCAUUCAUUUAAAGGCAUAAAUGUCCAAUGGGGCCAUCUUGUGAUACAUGCACUGUCACAGGAAAAGUUUCCAGGAAAAGUCAAGCCAGGGCUUCACAGAAGAUCAAAAGAAAGAGACAAGGAGAAGCUAAGUGUAUUAGUCAGGAUUCUCUAAGGGACAGAACUAAUAGAAUAUAUAUACACACACAAACACACACACACACACAUAUAUAUACAUAUAAAUAAAAGGGAGUUUAUUAAGGAGUAUUAACUCACACAAUCACAAGGUCCCACAACAGGCCGGGCCAUCUGUAAGCUGAGGAACAAGGAAGCCAGUCUGAAUCCCAAAGAUGACAAACUUGGAGUUCAAUGUUCAAGGGCAGGAAGCAUCCAGCACAGGAGAUAGAUGUAGGCUGGGAGGCUAAGCCAGUCAAGACUUUUCACGUUUUUCUGCCUGUUUCAUAUCCUAGCUGCAAUGGCAGCUGAUUAGAUGGUGCCCACCCAGAUUAAGGGUGGGUCUGCCUUUCCCAGCACACUGACUCAAAUGUUUAUCUCCUUUGGCAACACCCUCACAGACACACUCAGGAUUAAUAUUUUGCUUCCUUCCAUCCAAUCAAGUUGACACUCAGUAUUAACCAUCACACUAAGCUUGUUAUUUUAUAGAAAUGCUUGAAAACCAGAGAUAAAUGCAGCUACAAAUGAACGAUGACUCUGCGUUUUCCUUGUAUAUAUAAAGAUCAACAAUAACACUUAGGUCAUGAAACCCACCUACUUUACAGAUCAUUAUGGAAAUAAUACACUGCUUCAGCAAUGGAGAAACAAUCAUCCAUAUUUAUGCAAGAACUAAAUUCAAGUUUGAAAGCUUGCUUUGAGCUUGAAGAUAUAAAACAUGAUUCUGUGACAGUAAACAAUGUAUAACAAAUCUUACAGAAAUUUAUGUGAUUACUAAAAAAAAAUCAAUUCAUCAAUUCAAUAAACUGAGUACCGUAUUACUUUUCUAUUGCUUCUUUACCAAAUAAAUACAAGCUUUGCAGUUUAAAACAACAGAAAUUUAAUUUUUUAUAGUUCUGAGGGUCAGUAACCUAAAACUGAUCUUAUGAAAUAAAGUUAAAUCUUGGGGAUAUGGGUGUGGACAGGGCUGGUUUCUUCUGGGGCUCUGAUGGUAAAAUUUGCUUCCUUGCCUUUUCUCCUUCUAGGGAGCCUGCAUUCCCUGCCUCCUAGUGGCUUCCUCCCAUCACUCGAACCUCUGUUUCCAGCCUCAGGAUUCCUAAUGUGACUCUGACGUUUCAUCUCCUGUUUAUGAGGACGCUUCUGAUUGCUAAGAUACAUACGGUGACACUAUGGAAGUUAACUUGAAGAUUAAAACCCUGAAAAAUAGAAAGAAUCUUCUAUGGUAUAUCACAGAGAUUACAAGGGCCUGAAUUAGAGUGGUGACAUUUUCAUCCCUUGAUAAUGGAUUAAAAACAAUUGAAUGAAGCUUUGGGGUGAACUUACAGGACUUUAUGGCAAACUUCAUAUGGGAGACUUACAUGAAGGGAGGAAGAAAUGCGUAUGUGUACAAAAUCAUGUGGAUAGAUGUGCAUUUGUGGGUAUCUGUGAAUACAAAUACACAAUUUUCAGACAGAAGUAGUAUAAGAAAAGGAAAUCAAACAAAGUCAAACAUUUUAAGUGUAGCUCUUGGUGCACUUUAAAAAAUUAUUAAAUUGAAGCUGUAGUUUAUUCUCAUCAUUGUCAUCCUAUAUUAGUGAUUUUCUUUAGCUUUUGAAAUUAAAUUCAUAAUAUUACAAUUCUGAAUUCCUAUGUAUGUAUAUGUUAAGAAUCCUUUAAUGGGACUGACUUUCAUAUGUGUGUGGCUGCAUUCUGAAAUAGUUGUCUAGUUGAUACAUAAAGCAGUGAGUGCUAUUUGUAAGAUAUAUUUAUAUUUAAAGUCUUCAUACAGUUAUUAACUAGCUCCAAUAUUACUGAAAUGAUUUCUCCAAAUAUCCUAUAUUUAAUUAUCAUGCUGGCAAAUUUAUUAUAACUUUGGUUUGAAAAAAUAUAUUAUGAUACAUAUCCACUGACUAAUGCCACCUAUCUGCUUUCCUGAAUUCAAAGUUUAUGAUUAUUUCCAUAAAUGUAUUUAUCAGUAUAAUCAAAAAUAAAAAUAACAUAAAU